ACCCUGGGAAGCCUCCUCCUGGACCUGGACCUGGAUCAAAAGGUAAGGCCCCCCUCAAAAGCCAGAACCCGAGAUCACUCGGACCUAAGGGGUAGGAGCUCAGAGUCCAAGGCUCCAGGAAGCCGCGGCCCCUCCCCGCUCAGAGAGCAGGGUAGUCUGAAACAACAGCAACCCUCAGGGCGGGCAAGACAGCCUCACCAGCUGGAUCCUGCUAUCCAAGUCUCAGUGAAAGUCACUGCCCUCGGAGCUCCAGGAAGCCGCGACUCCUUCCCCCACAGAGAGCAGGGUCGUCUGAAACAACAGCAACCCUCAGGGCCGACAAGACAGCCUCACGGCCAGCUAUUCCGAAGGCAACUUCCAGAAAGCAACCCAACCCAGUCCAGUCGAGCGGGCACCUUAGCAGCAGGGAAGCAGAGAGAACCUGGGGAGAGUGUGGCCCCGUGGUCCGACCCUUCCAUUCCAGUUCCAGUGAAAGUCAUUGCCCAUACUCAAUUUAACCCAGGGAAAGCUCAUAGAACCGAUAAUCUGCCCAGGACUAAAGCCUCUGAACACCAGACAGAGAUAAGAAAAGCUAAUCCUCCCCAUUCAGAGAUGGCAAACUCCACAGAAGCACAGAAGCCCCAAAAUCCCAAGAAAAAUAAGAAGAAAGGAGCGACUUUGGACACAUUCUAUGGAACUAAAAUACAAAAUACCGAGGAGAGAGAAGACGAUGCACAAGAAAAUUCUCCAAAACCUUCCAAAGGAAAUGGAAACUCUCCAGAAACACAUGAAGAAUUUGAAUCAGAAAUGACCAAAAAGAUGGAAGCCUUCUGGGAUGAAAAGUGGGAAAUAAUGCAAAAGAAAUUCACACAUCUACAAAACCGGUGUGAUGAAACUGAAAAGGAAAACCAGGCUUUAAAGGCCAGAAUCAGGCAGCUGGAAGACAACGAUCAUGUAAAAGAACAAGAAUUAAUAAAGCAAAGCCAAAAUACCAAGAAAUUAGAAGAGAACAUAAAAUAUCUCACUGACAAGGUGACAGAUCUGGAAAAUAGAGGGAGAAGAGAUAAUUUAAGAAUAAUUGGACUUCCAGAAAAGCCAGAAAUAAACACCAAACUCGACAUCAUGAUACAA
rnacentral:lncRNA from 1 species